rnacentral:misc_RNA from 1 species
GCCAUACAGGGACGUAAAUUAAAACAAAAUGAAUUAAAAUCAUGUUGAGAAAAGGACAUUGGCUAUAUAUUGAACAAUAGGCAGCAUUGCAACAUAAGCCUUGGAGGUGAAGGGCACAGCAAUUCAACCCUAGUACUAGAUUAAAAUAGAAAUAUACGCUCCAUUCCAGUGCUGACGUAGCAAAAACUUUCGACCUGCAGGAAAAUUGUAUAUAGUGUACUCCUUGUCAGCCAAGGAAACAGUUGUUUUGCAAGAUAUCAACUUUCACACCUUACACGCUUACAAGAUCAGAAAAAGAGUCAUGUGCCAAAAAUGUAUUAAAUUCACAAACAUAGUCAUUAAUUGCACAAUUUAAAGAGAAAAAAGGUGAACAGAAAUAACUAAUAGCUCAAGUACUCAAGCUCAGUUAAUUUCCAGCCUGCUCACUAAGCAGUAGCAUAAUUUAAUGAUUUAUCAUUUUUCUUAUGAGUAACUCAUUUUAAGAAUUACUUUAUGAAAAGUAAAACAAAUAAUUUUGGAUGUA